rnacentral:rRNA from 1 species
AGGCAGCAGUUAGGAAUCUUCCGCAAUGGACGAAAGUCUGGUGGAGCAACGCCGCGUGAGCGAAGAAGGCCUUCGGGUCGUAAAGCUCUGUUGUCAGGGAAGAACAAGUAUCGGAGUAACUGCCGGUACCUUGACGGUACCUGACCAGAAAGCCACGGCUAACUACGUGCCAGCAGCCGCGGUAAUACGUAGGUGGCAAGCGUUGUCCGGAAUUAUUGGGCGUAAAGCGCGUGCAGGCGGUCCUUUAAGUCUGAUGUGAAAGCCCACGGCUCAACCGUGGAGGGUCAUUGGAAACUGGGGGACUUGAGUGCAGAAGAGGAGAGCGGAAUUCCACGUGUAGCGGUGAAAUGCGUAGAGAUGUGGAGGAACACCAGUGGCGAAGGCGGCUCUCUGGUCUGUAACUGACGCUGAGGCGCGAAAGCGUGGGGAGCGAACAGGAUUAGAUACCCGAGUAGUCC